rnacentral:rRNA from 1 species
UACGUAGGGUGCAAGCGUUGUCCGGAAUUAUUGGGCGUAAAGAGCUCGUAGGCGGUCUGUCGCGUCGGCUGUGAAAACUCGGGGCUCAACCCCGAGCCUGCAGUCGAUACGGGCAGGCUAGAAUUCGGUAGGGGAGACUGGAAUUCCUGGUGUAGCGGUGAAAUGCGCAGAUAUCAGGAGGAACACCGGUGGCGAAGGCGGUUCUCUGGGCCUUACCUGACGCUGAGGAGCGAAAGCGUGGGGAGCGAACAGG